GGGGGGGGGGGGGGGGGGGCGGGGGGGGGGCGGGGCGGGCGGGGGGGCGGGGGGCGCGGGCGCGUGCGGGGGGCGAGGGGCGGACGGGGGAGGAAUGCAUCGGAAUCUACUUUUUCGUGGGGGAUAACGUAGGGAAACUUACGCUAAUACCGCAUACGACCUACGGGUGAAAGCAGGGGAUCGUCGGACCUUGCGCGAUUGAAUGAGCCGAUGUCGGAUUAGCUAGUUGGCGGGGUAACGGCCCACCAAGGCGACGAUCCGUAGCUGGUCUGAGAGGAUGAUCAGCCACACUGGAACUGAGACACGGUCCAGACUCCUACGGGAGGCAGCAGUGGGGAAUAUUGGACAAUGGGCGCAAGCCUGAUCCAGCCAUACCGCGUGGGUGAAGAAGGCCUUCGGGUUGUAAAGCCCUUUUGUUGGGAAAGAAAAGCAGCAGGUUAAUACCCCGCUGUUCUGACGGUACCUAAAGAAUAAGCACCGGCUAACUUCGUG
rnacentral:rRNA from 1 species